rnacentral:rRNA from 1 species
AUUGAACGCUAGCGGCAUGCCAAACACAUGCAAGUCGAACGGCAGCACGAGGAGCUUGCUCCUUGGUGGCGAGUGGCGGACGGGUGAGUAACGCGUAGGAAUCUGCCUCGUAGUGGGGGACAACCCGGGGAAACUCGGGCUAAUACCGCAUAAUCUCUUCGGAGCAAAGUUGGUGACCUUCGGGCCUAACACUAUGAGAUGAGCCUGCGUUGGAUUAGCUAGUUGGUGGGGUAAAGGCCUACCAAGGCGACGAUCCAUAGCUGGUCUGAGAGGACGACCAGCCACACUGGGACUGAGACACGGCCCAGACUCCUACGGGAGGCAGCAGUGGGGAAUAUUGGACAAUGGGCGAAAGCCUGAUCCAGCAAUGCCGCGUGUGUGAAGAAGGCCCUCGGGUUGUAAAGCACUUUUAGUGGGGAAGAAAAAGACAAGGAUAAUACCCUUGGAAAUUGACGUUACCCACAGAAAAAGCACUGGCUAACUCUGUGCCAGCCGCCGCGGUAA